rnacentral:misc_RNA from 1 species
UGGAAGUAAAAGUCGUAACAAGGUCUCCGUUGGUGAACCAGCGGAGGGAUCAUUACCGAGUCUUUACAACUCAUAACCCUUUGUGAACCAUUAUACCUAGUUGCUUCGGCGGCGCGCCUCCGGGCGUGCCCGCCGGCCAAUUAUAGUCUCUUAGUUGUGAAUCGACGUUACAUCUGAGUGUUCUAAGCGAACUGUUAAAACUUUCAACAACGGAUCUCUUGGCUCCAGCAUCGAUGAAGAACGCAGCGAAACGCGAUAUGUAGUGUGAAUUGCAGAAUUCAGUGAAUCAUCGAAUCUUUGAACGCACAUUGCGCCUUCCAGUAUCCUGGGAGGCAUGCCUGUCCGAGCGUCGUUUCAACCCUCGAGCCCCCGUGGCCCGGUGUUGGGGACGCUGCCCAGCUACCUGGGCAGCCCCCCUAAAUGCAGUGGCGGUCCCGCAAGUCCCAGCCCUUUGCGUAGUAAUAUCAUUCUCGCUCUGGACGGCUCGCGGGCUUACCAGCCUCGAAACCCCCUACAAAGACCGCCCCGGCGGCAACGGUUGACCUCGGAUCAGGUAGGAAUACCCGCUGAACUUAAGCAUAUCAAUAAGCGGAGGA